UACGUACCGUCCAAAACGUUAUUCGGAAUUACUGGGCGUAAAGGGCUCGUAGGCGGCCAACUAAGUCGGACGUGAAAUCCCUCGGCUUAACCGGGGAACUGCGUCCGAUACUGGAUGGCUUGAGUUCGGGAGAGGGAUGCGGAAUUCCAGGUGUAGCGGUGAAAUGCGUAGAUAUCUGGAGGAACACCGGUGGCGAAGGCGGCAUCCUGGACCGACACUGACGCUGAGGAGCGAAAGCCAGGGGGAGCAAACGGG
rnacentral:rRNA from 1 species